AAACUCUUACAUAUUCUUCUCACCUUAAAAAAAUCACUGUUACAACUACAUAUGAAUAUAUGCAAACAUACAUACAAGUUGAGUAUCUCUUAACCGAAAUGCUUGGGGCCAGAAGUGUUUCAGAUUUCAGAUAUUUUCUGAUUUGGAAAUAUUUGUAUAUACAUAAUGAAACCUCUUGGGGAUGGGACCGAAGUUUAAACAUAACAUUUAUUAUGUUUCAUAUACACUUUAUACAUAUACCCUGAGAGCAAUUUUAUACAAUACUUUUAACAGUUUUGCGCAUAAAACAAAGUUUGUUUACACUGAACCAUCAGAAAACAAGUGUCACCAUCUCAGUCAUCCACGUGGACAAUCUGUGGGUGUUUGGCAUCACCAUCAUUCCUGUCUCUGAACUUAUAUGCUACCAAAAACAAUUGUUUUCUUACACUUAUUUACACAUACUUACUAAUAAAAAAUGAAGACAUACCAUUAAUAUAGCAAAGAAGAAAAGUAAUGUGUUCAGGUAACUAAGGAGUACAAUAGCAUCAGCAGAACACCUGUAUCAGCUAUUAAACAACGGCAACAACAAAUGACUGUAGGCUUUUAGUCUCUACCUACAAUUCUGCAUUUUGAUUAAUAGGUUACCGUAUACUGUAUUUUUUUUUAAUCCAUGAGAUUUUCUCAUUUAUUCCUUGGAACAUGAAUUAAUAUAUAACUACAUUAACAUGUAAAUCUUUUUUAUUGCAUUUUAGGUUUUGAUGUGCAUGUGAAGAACAUGCAAGAUUGUUGCAUAGUACCUCACAAGGCCAUCUGGACUAAGGAAGAGGAUUCCCAGUCUCCUUUCGAGCUAAGUGAAUUUGUGUACUGGACAACAGGAUGUCAGAAGACAUAAUCUCUGCCACUUGUGUGCAGUACCGUAAAGGAAAGGAAAAUGCUGCUUCUACCUCUUUUGCCCUUUUACUAUUAGCUAGAAUUUGGAUAGGUGGUAGUAAGCCAUUUAAGAAUUGAGAUUAGCAAAACACUAGAAAAAAGAAGGCUGACUGAUUACUUUGUAUAGCACAGCUACUGUAUUAAUUUGAGUCUUUAACUCAUGUGAGAAUAAAUGUCUGCCUUGUUUAAGCCAUUGCUAAUACUCUAUAUAAAUUAUGUGUCGUAAAAAAUGCAAGAUAUAUAUCCUAUUCGUUUGAAUUAAUUACUUCAAUUAAGUGACCUAAUUUUUUAAUUAAAUGUUUUUAAAAAUUAUAAAAUUAACAUAUAUGUGUCCAUUGAGUAAAAAAUAGAAAUUUUACUGUCUGCAUUCUCCUGUCUAGGAAUUGCCAUGAGUUUGGUACUGUUAUUGCCUUUGCCAGACUAGGCUAGCUGUCCUUACCAUACUCCCAACUGUAUAAGGUAUUCGAUGUCAAAAAUAUGUCACCAAAGCCAGUGAUGGCAAGCAAUUCAAAGGUUCUUCACUCUCAGGCAUAGGCAAAGUGAUUUGGGGACCACACAUGAGUAGAAGGGAGAGGAGGAGAGGAAAGGAGAGAAGAGGGCAGGAGAGAAGACAGGAGAAAUGUGCGAUAAAAUACUGCCUGCUGCAUUUUUGAAGGCUGAAGGGGAACUAACAUUGUGUGUCUUUCCCCCGUAGGAGUGGACGCUGGAGAUUGAAGCUCAGAUCAGCAGCAGGCAGGGUGGCAUGGCUUGCACAUGAUUCAUCUAUUUGGCAUCGCAGAAGUGAUUGAGACAGAGAUGGGUACCCGACAGUUCUUUUGUUUGUUUGUUUCUUCCUGGUAGUGACUUAUUUCACUCAGUUCUUUCUCACAGACGUGGAAACUGAAACAGAGAGGCUGAAGGAUUUGCUGAAGGCAACUGGAAUCCAAAGCCUGUCCAGUAGAAUGUGGAUAUUGUCAUUUUUGCCUAAAAUGUUCAACUGGUGCUCAUUGAUUGGGUGCCUACUCUGUUACGAUGUAUCAGGCACUGUCAAACUUUUUACCCACUUUUUUCAGCCUUGAUGACAUCCCUACAAAAUGUACUCUCAACUCCAUAAUUCUCUCAAAUUCAAAAUGAAGUGUUUUUUUUAAAGUUGUGAAUAAAGUGAACACUUCUUUUUUCUUUGUAUUUAUUCCCUGUAUUAUUUGUUAUUUCUGAGCAUUCUUUUUGGAGGAAGAAGUCUUCAUGGCUUACAUAUAUUUGUAACAGAAACAUUUGAAAAAUAUUCAUAUAAAGGAACAUAAAAAUCAACAAUCAUCCAACUAUUCAGAUGAUUAUCAUUAUCAUUUUACUGUAUGUAUUUUCAAUUUUUUUCUCAGUACAGUUGAAUCUAUACAUAAUAUGAAAAAUAGUACAAACUAUUACUGUUGCAGUACCAGUAAUAAAAUAAAAUAAAUACCCUAUAAUGUCAGUUUCAUAGUUUUGUACUUAAACAUUGUUUACAAUGGACACAGGGAGGGGAACAUUAUAUACUGGGGUUUGUUGGGGA